rnacentral:lncRNA from 1 species
AGACCUUGAUCAAAGUUAAUCAAUCAAGAUUCCCCAAGAUUAACUAAACGCUCUGAUGUUUUGAUUAAGAAAUGCAAAGCAAACACACAUGAAACAGAAACGAAACCAGAAAGAACAGUAAUCAACAGAGAAUAGAGUUAUAGUGGUUCGGCUUGGAGAAAGCCUACAUCCACUGAAGAACAGAGCAACAAUCUUUAUUCAAUCACCAGGAACAAGAUACAAGCUUUAAGAUGAAGUUACAAGCAACACCCUCUGAUUCCGCAUCACUUAAGGCUAUAUAUACAUGCUUAAGUGAGCCCAGAAAUUACCCCCACCAGUCAGCUCUCCUUUGUCAAUCAAACCCAGAUCUUCCCGCUCUUGUAACAGAACUUAACGACCUUCAGAGCCACGUGUUUGCUUCACGUUAAAUGGGACUCUAAAACGGCACUCAGCAAAGUCGUAUAGAUAAGUGAAAGCAUGUGAUGGCCACGUGCUUUACUUACUCUCAGAUGAAUGAAUGAACAUCUUGUCAUACAGCUUUGAAAGACUUUAACCGACCAGUCAUAUUCUGUUCCAAUCACGAACUGACAUGUCGUAUGAAUUUCUAGAAACCAGUUUCAGAGCUCACACUUCAACAUUCUCCACCUUGAGCUUGAAACCCUCAUGAAUCUGCUACCCUUCUCUUCAACUAUCCGUCACUUAUUUUUGACAGAUUCCUGCUAAUUCUAAGCAAAGCUUGAACUUAGCAGUUGUCACUGGUUUAGUCAGCAUAUCUACAACAUUCUUAUCUGUAUGGACCUUCUGCAGCUUCACAGUUGCUCUUAACACUUCCAGCCUUAUGAAAUGCAGCUUGAUAUCGAUGUGCUUGGUCUUCUCAUGGUGUGUCUGAUUUUUGCUCAGACAUAUAGCACUUUGGCUAUCACAGUUUAUCACUACUGACCUUUGAUCAAUACCAAGUUCUUUAAGCAUCCCUUUCAGCCAGAUGGCUUCUUUAACUGCUUCUGCAGCAGCUGUGUAUUCAGCUUCUGUGGUUGAAAGUGCCACAACACUCUGCAGUUGAGCUUUCCAAUUGACAGUGCAGUUGUUGAGUGUGAAGAGAUAUCCUGUAAGUGAUCUUCUUCUAUCCAGAUCUCCCCAGCAUAAUCUGAGUCCACAAAACCAACAAUCUGACUGUCAUCUUGUCUUAAUCCUCCAUACAUCAACCCAUAUGUUGCUGUCCCAUUUAGGUACCUGAGAAUCCAUUUUACAGCUCUCCAGUGUUCCUUCCCAGGGUUUGCCAUAUACCUGCUCACAACACUUACAACAUAGGAUAAAUCAGGCCUAGUUAAGACCAUAGCAUACAUCAAGCAACCUACAGCACUUGCAUAAGGUAUAUUUAUCAUCUCAGACAUUUCAGCUUCUGUUGUUGGACACAACUGAUCUGACAAUCUGAAAUGAGGUGCUAAGGGUGUUUGAACUGGUUUUGAGUUUGUCAUUCCAAACUUGUCAAUUACCCUUCUGAUGUAUUCUUCCUGACUGAGAAACAGAGUGCCAGUUUUUUCAUUCCUGUGUAGCUGUAUUCCCAGAAUUUUCUUUGCUGGACCAAGAUCCUUCAUGUCAAAUUCUCCUUUAAGCUUCUGUUUCAGGUCUUCAAUUAAGCUCAUGCUCACACUGGCAAUAAGCAUGUCAUCUACAUACAAUACUAGAUAAACCAUCAUGCCUGAAUCUUCUCUAAAGUAAACACAACAGUCCAAGUUACACCUCUGAAAUUUCUGCUCUAACAUAAAGCUGUCAAACCUGAGGUACCACUGCCUUGGGGACUGUUUGAGUCCAUACAGAGACUUCUUCAGAUGACAAACCCAGUCAGCCUUUGAUUUGUCUGUGAAUCCUUCAGGCUGAGCCAUUACUAUGUACUCUUGUAAUUCCCCAUGUACUGUUUGAUUCAUCUGUAAAGCCUUCAGGCUGAGCCAUUACUAUAUACUCUUGUAAUUCCCCAUGUAAGAAUGUUGUUUUUACAUCCAUUUGUUCUAAAUGCAUGUUAUUUACAGCCACCAAUGACAAGAUGAUUCUUAUAGAGGCAUGCCUUACUACAGGUGAAAAUACUUCAGUAAAGUCAAUCCCCUCUUUUUGAGUGAAGCCCUUUGCAACAAGUCUGGCUUUGAAUCUCACUGGUUCCACUCCUGUGAUACCUUGCUUGAGUUUGUACACCCAUUUGCAUCCUACCACCUUUUUCCUGUCUGGUUUUUCCACAAGUGUCCAGGUGUCAUUCUUAUACAAAGAAUCCAUUUCUUCCUUCAUGGCUUUUAACCAUUGGUCUGCAUUCUUCCCUGAAACAGCUUCCUUGUAGGUUUUAGGUUCAUCAUAAUCCAGUUCAUGAGCUGCUGUUAAUGCAUAUGCAAUCAGAUCUGCAUAUGCAUACUUCUUUGGUGCCUUUAUCUCUCUCCUUUCUCUAUCCCUGGCCAGCUGAUAAUCAUGCAAUGUUGUUUGGUUUUCUGAAGUUCCAUCAGAAUCUUCUACAUCUCUUUCUUCAUCAUCUGAUGCCUCAUAUGAAGUUGUAUCUCCAGAUUUUCCAGUAAGCUCCACCUUAAUCUGAUCUCUCAGUACACCAGUGCCUUUGUCUGAGUUUUCAAGCCUCUGCACAUGAUUCUUAAGCAUUUCUUGCUCAUUGAAAACCACAUCUCUACUGACUAUGCAUCUUGGUGGUUUUAGAUCAGUACACCAGAGUCUAUAGCCCUUCACACCCUCUGGAUAUCCAAGAAAGACACAUUUCAGAGCCCUAGGCUCAAGCUUUCCUUGCUUUAUGUGUGCAAAUGCAGGGCAGCCAAAUAUCUUCAAAUCAGAAUAGUUAGCAGCUCUGCCUGACCAUAAUUCUACAGGUGUUUUAAAGUCUAUGCCACUGGAUGGACUUCUGUUGACUAAAUAGCAAGCUGUCAUCAGUGUUUCAGCCCAUAAGGACUGAGGAAGUUUAGAGUGAAUUAACAGACAUCUUACUUUGUCCAUGAGAGUUCUAUUCAUCCUCUCAGCAAGCCCAUUUUGCUGUGGAGUGUGCCUUACUGUUUUGUGUCUUACAACUCCAUUCUGAGCACAGAAAUCAUUAAACAGUUGAUUGCAAAAUUCUAAACCAUUAUCAGUCCUUAGCCUCUUGACUUUUCUACCUGUUUGUGUUUCUACCAGUGCUUUCCACUGCUUAAACUUCUCAAAGACUUCAUUCUUAUUCUUUAAGAUAUACACCCAAACCAUUCUAGAAUAGUCAUCAAUCAAGGAUAGGAAGUAUUUAGCUCCACCUAAAGAAGUUGUCCGUGCUGGUCCCCACAGAUCAGAGUGGAUAUAAUCUUAGGUCCCUUUGGUCUUAUGCACUGCAGUUUUGAAACUAGUUCUAGAGGAUUUUCCUAGGACACAUACCUCACAGAACUCAACAAGACCUAUCUUAUCAUCCCCCAAGACUCCCUGUUUUUCUAAUAUCUUCAUCCCUCUUUCACUCAUAUGCCCCAAUCUCAUGUGCCACAUUAGUGUUUUGUUUGGAUUCAUGCUAGUUGAGACACUAACAUCCCCUGUAAUGGCUGUCCCUUGCAGCACAUACAAGCCAUUAUUCUUAGCCCCUUUCAUUAUCACCAUGGACCCUCUAAUUAUCUUCAUAACCCCAGAUUUCAUUUUAAUGAUGCAGCCCAUUUGAUCAAGGAUUCCUAGUGAUAUUAAGUUUCUUUUUAGCUCAGGAACAUGCCUUACUUCACUUAAUUCCCUAAUCACCCCAUCAAACAUCUUAAGCCUAAUGGUUCCAAGUCCAACCACUUUACAAAGUGAGUUGUUUCCCAUCAUAACUUCCCCACCAUUAAAAAGUCUAUAACUGGAAAAAAAAUUUCUAUCAGGGCACAUGUGAUAAGUACAUCCAGAAUCCAACACCCACUUACCAUUGGUUUGAGUUCCAGUGACUAGAAGAACACCAGCUGAGUCAUAUCCUUCAUCAUCCUUUUCUUCUGAUGCAACAGCAGCAUCUCCAUUCUUCUUGGGUCCAUCUUUUUCCUUGUUCUUUCUCUCUGGACAGUCCUUCUUAAAAUGUCCCUCCUUGUGGCACUGGAAACAUUUCAGAUUUUUAUUCUUUGACUUUGAUUUGCUGCGUUUUCUGUUCUUAUUACUGUAAUCCUUCUUUUCUGGUCUACCCCUUGCUGUUAAGCCUUCACCAUCUUUUACUUCUGACUUCCUUGUGACCUCUUUUGAACUGAGAGAAUCUUUCACAUCAGCCAUGGUUAUUGACUGCCUUCCAUAUAGCAAAGUGUCCACGAAGUGUUCAUAGGAAGGUGGGAGAGAUGAUAGCAAGAUUAUUGCCUUGUCUUCAUCUUCCAGUCUCACAUUGAUAUCUUCAAGAUCAAGAAUGAUUCUAUUGAAGUUAUCAAUGUGAUUUGCCAGAGAGCUACCCUCCUCCAUCUGCAAUGUAUACAGCCUCUUUUUGGUGCAAAGUCUCUUGGUUAGAGACUUUUUCGUAUAGAGAUCUUCUAGUUUCUUCCAGAGGCCUGCAGCAGUUGUUUGAUCCCCAACUUCCCUCAGAACUCCAUCACCCAGACUCAAGAUUAAGGUGCUAUGAGCCUUGUCUAAUGCAUCUUGCAUUUCUUCUCCACUGAGCUUGCUGGGCUUCUUUUCAGAUCUUGGAUCCCCCAGUGUUUCUUCAAGCCCUUGAUGGACCAACAAUGCUCUCAUCUUGAGACGCCAUAAAUGGAAGUCAUUCUCUCCUGUAAAUUUCUCUACUUGAAACUUAGAGGUUGCCAUUUCUUGGAUCAAAGAUCAGAGUUGUUGGGCUCUGAUACCAAUUUGUUAGACCUUGAUCAAAGUUAAUCAAUCAAGAUUCCCCAAGAUUAACUAAACGCUCUGAUGUUUUGAUUAAGAAAUGCAAAGCAAACACACAUGAAACAGAAACGAAACCAGAAAGAACAGUAAUCAACAGAGAAUAGAGUUAUAGUGGUUCGGCUUGGAGAAAGCCUACAUCCACUGAAGAACAGAGCAACAAUCUUUAUUCAAUCACCAGGAACAAGAUACAAGCUUUAAGAUGAAGUUACAAGCAACACCCUCUGAUUCCGCAUCACUUAAGGCUAUAUAUACAUGCUUAAGUGAGCCCAGAAAUUACCCCCACCAGUCAGCUCUCCUUUGUCAAUCAAACCCAGAUCUUCCCGCUCUUGUAACAGAACUUAACGACCUUCAGAGCCACGUGUUUGCUUCACGUUAAAUGGGACUCUAAAACGGCACUCAGCAAAGUCGUAUAGAUAAGUGAAAGCAUGUGAUGGCCACGUGCUUUACUUACUCUCAGAUGAAUGAAUGAACAUCUUGUCAUACAGCUUUGAAAGACUUUAACCGACCAGUCAUAUUCUGUUCCAAUCACGAACUGACAUGUCGUAUGAAUUUCUGGAAACCAGUUUCAGAGCUCACACUUCAACA